rnacentral:rRNA from 1 species
AUUGAACGCUGGCGGCAGGCCUAACACAUGCAAGUCGAACGAGUGGCGGACGGGUGAGUAAUGUCUGGGAAACUGCCCGAUGGCGGGGGAUAACUACUGGAAACAGUAGCUAAUACCGCAUACCAUCGGAUGUGCCCAGAUGGGAUUAGCUAGUAGGUGGGGUAAAGGCUCACCUAGGCGACGAUCCCUAGCUGGUCUGAGAGGAUGACCAGCCACACUGGAACUGAGACACGGUCCAGACUCCUACGGGAGGCAGCAGUGGGGAAUAUUGCACAAUGGGCGAAACCCUGAUGCAGCCAUCCCGCGUGUAUGAAGAAGGCCUUCGGGUUGUAAAGUACUUUCAGCGGGGAGGCGGUAUCCGCAGAAGAAGCACCGGCUAACUACGUGCCAGCAGCCGCGGUAAUUC